UACAGAGGUCUCAAGCGUUGUUCGGAUUCAUUGGGCGUAAAGGGUGUGUAGGUGGCGCGCUAAGUCGGGUGUGAAAUUUCGGAGCUUAACUCCGAAACUGCAUUCGAUACUGGCGUGCUUGAGGACUGGAGAGGAGACUGGAAUUCAUGGUGUAGCAGUGAAAUGCGUAGAGAUCAUGAGGAAGACCAGUGGCGAAGGCGGGUCUCUG
rnacentral:rRNA from 1 species